rnacentral:rRNA from 1 species
GUCUGAGGUGGAAGUGUGGCGACACAUGGAGCUGACAGAUACUAAUCGAUCGAGGACUUAACCAUAUUU